rnacentral:rRNA from 1 species
UGCCAGCAGCCGCGGUAAUACGAGGGGUGCAAGCGUUAUUCGGAAUCAUUGGGCGUAAAGGGUGCGUAGACGGCACAUUAAGUCAGUUGUUAAAUUUUCCGGCCUAACCGGAAGUAUGCGAUUGAAACUGGUGAGCUAGAGGUUGGAAGAGAGAAGUGGAAUUCUCGGAGUAGCGGUAAAAUGCGUAGAUCUCGAGAGGAACACCGAUGGCGAAGGCAGCUUCUUGGUCCAUACCUGACGUUGAGGCACGAAAGCGUGGGGAGCAAACAGGAUUAGAUA